rnacentral:rRNA from 1 species
GGUCUUUACUGACGCUGAGGCUCGAAAGCAUGGGUAGCGAACAGGAUUAGAUACCCUGGUAGUCCAUGCCGUAAACGAUGAUUAUAAGUGUUGGAGGGUUUCCGCCCUUCAGUGCUGCAGCUAACGCAUUAAGUAAUCCGCCUGGGGAGUACGACCGCAAGGUUGAAACUCAAAAGAAUUGACGGGGGCCCGCACAAGCGGUGGAGCAUGUGGUUUAAUUCGAAGCUACGCGAAGAACCUUACCAGGUCUUGACAUCUUCUGCCAACCUAAGAGAUUAGGCGUUCCCUUCGGGGACAGAAUGACAGGUGGUGCAUGGUUGUCGUCAGCUCGUGUCGUGAGAUGUUGGGUUAAGUCCCGCAACGAGCGCAACCCUUAUUACUAGUUGCCAGCAUUCAGUUGGGCACUCUAGUGAGACUGCCGGUGACAAACCGGAGGAAGGUGGGGACGACGUCAAAUCAUCAUGCCCCUUAUGACCUGGGCUACACACGUGCUACAAUGGAUGGUACAACGAGUUGCGAAACCGCGAGGUUUAGCUAAUCUUUAAAACCAUUCUCAGUUCGGACUGUAGGCUGCAACUCGCCUACCGAAGUCGGAAUCGCUAGUAAUCGCGGAUCAGCAUGCCGCGGUGAAUACGUUCCCGGGCCUUGUACACACCGCCCGUCACACCAUGAGAGUUUGACACCCAAAGCCGGUGGGGUAACCUUUUAGGAGCAGCCGUCUAAGGGGACAGAUGAUUAGGGAAGUCGU